rnacentral:rRNA from 1 species
AACAAACGCUGGCGGCGUGCAUAACACAUGCAAGUCUGACGGGAAAGUCGGCUUCGGCCGGCAAGUACCGUGGCGAACGGGUGAGUAACACGUGGGUAAUCUAACCUCGAGUUUGGGAUAACCCUGCGAAAGCGGGGCUAAUACCGAAUAAGACCACGCUUGGUUCGCCAAGUGCGGUAAAAGGCGGCCUCUUCUUGAAAGCUGUCACUCGAGGAUGAGCCCGCGGCCUAUUAGCUAGUUGGUGGGGUAAUGGCCUACCAAGGGGACGAUGGGUAGCCGGCCUGAGAGGGUGUAAGGCCAAACUGGCACUGAGAUACGGGCCAGACUCCUACGGGAGGCAGCAGUGGGGAAUUUUGCGCAAUGGGGGAAACCCUGACGCAGCAACGCCGCGUGAGUGAUGAAGGCCUUCGGGUCGUAAAGCUCUUUUAGUGGGGAAGAAUCCCACCCGGGCUAAUACCUCGGGUGUCUGACGGUACCCACAGAAAAAGUUCCGGCUAACUACGUGCCAGCCGCCGCCGUAAAAC